CCCCUUUUCUCGUACAUGCAUGCGGGCUAGCAGUCUUAUUGUUAACUGGACCAACCAAGAAGUCUGAUAUGCAACUUGUUCUUCUCAGUUACUAAAUAUGAAGUGCUGUUGUAGGCUUUUGUUUAAAGAUUACAGACAUUAACAAGGACCAUUUGUAUCUGAUAUUUUAGCCAUGUGUAAUUGAAGCAAAUAUCAAAGCCGAACCAAUAGUUGUGUGUAUCGAAACUUCUUUCUUCAGGGCAUCCAAAUUUUGGGCAUACACGUUAAACAAGAUGGAGGUUGGAAUGAUGCAAGCUGCAGCUGAUGAAGAUUUUGAGAAACUUUGGCAAAUGGUAGCAGAUAACUCUUGGAAACUGGAGUAUCAACAUGGAAAUCAAUGUGUGGAGCAAACAUUCAAACAGCACAGACUUAAAAAUUGUCAAAGUGAAAACCACUUUUCAUGAUGUUGAUAUGUGGUUGUUGUUUGAUCUCUUAAUGGAUGGAGACUAUAGACCUGUUUGGGAUACAUGUAUGGUUGCAUCUUACACCAUAGGCUAUAUUAAUCCAAACAAUGAUGUUGGUUAUUACGCCAUGUCGUGCCCGCCACCGAUUCAGAACCGCGAUUUUGUCCUUCAACGUUCGUGGUUAGCCACACAAAAAAAUUUCUAUCCUAAAUCAUUCCAUUACUCACAAAGACCUACCCCCUAAAAAUAUUUCAUCAGAGG